rnacentral:rRNA from 1 species
UACGGAGGGUGCAAACGUUGCUCGGAAUCAUUGGGCGUAAAGCGCACGUAGGCGGCCUGUUAAGUCGGAUGUGAAAGCCCCGGGCUCAACCCGGGAAGUGCAUUCGAAACUGGCGGGCUUGAAUAUGGAAGAGGGUCGCGGAAUUCCCGGUGUAGAGGUGAAAUUCGUAGAUAUCGGGAGGAACACCAGUGGCGAAGGCGGCGACCUGGGCCAAUAUUGACGCUGAGGUGGCGAAAAGCGUGGGGAGCAAACAGGG